CCUGCCAUUCCCAUGGAGCGGCCUUUCACCCCAACGCAGAGGGAAGGGUUUCCUCAUCUGUGUUUGUCGUUGCUGAAAGCUGUUGCUGGGAGUGCAUGCACCCGUGUUUGGGUGGCUGGGACGCGUUAAUGGUUAUUGCCCAUUUAUUUUGGCAAAGAGCCUGCCUGGUGCGUUGAAUUUCCCUCGUCAGCAGGACGCUGCAGCUGAGCAGACACCGCUGCCUGGGGUGUGCUGUGUGCCAGGCUAAAGCAGGAUCAGAUGCCAAACAGUGAAACCUGGCCUCUGCUGAGGGUCCCGCUGGGUCCCCACUGGCCUCAGCGGGGACAGUUUGGCCACCAUUUGGUUUCCCGUGUAUGGUCAGUGGCUUCAUGCUGAGGAGGACACUGGGCUCCCAGAUCCCUAAAACUAACAGCCCUGACCUAGGCCAAGAUGUGAGGGUUUCCAGGUGGUCUGUGUGAGCUAGGAGACCAGAGUAAGAGGUGGGAUGGGAGCAGGGUUUCUCUGACAAUUUCAGUGGUGCUCAGAGCCAGGUAACCAUCAGGCGGUGGAGAGCGUGGCCAUGGGCUUUGCCUCUCUGCGUGGGCAGCUGCUCUCUCCUGCCUGGCAAAGCAGAGGUGUGGCACCCGGGCUGUUCAGUCACUGAUGAUGGAGUGAGAUACUCGAGCCAAGGCAUUCCCAUGUUGCUUUUUGACUCUAAAGCUUCACCAGUGUGUGCGGUUGAAGUGGAAGGAUGGCUUGUGUUUUUGCUUUUGCUUUACUAGAAUUGGCUGAAAAUGCCCCAGGGGUGCUCAAUUAAAACAAACAAAGGAGGUUAUAUUCAAGGAAACUCCCAGGGCAACAUAAGAGAUGUAAUUCCAAGCGUACAAAGAGAACAAGUUUUAGCCAUCCUAGCAGCUGGAAGUUUUGUUUCCAGCCUGGCAGUGGAUCUAAGAAAGCGGAUCUUGGUUGUGUUUGUUCCUCUCCCUCCUUAAUUUGUUGGUGGUGUUAGAUGGAAGCAUCCUCUCAGGGCAACCACAUGUGUUAGGAAUGGCACCAAGAGCAGCUUCCUUUGAAAACAGCUGUGGGGGAAAACUGUCAUGGUCACUGGGAUGGGUGUAAGUAACUGGGAUGAAGUAAGGAGCAUUAUGAAAUCUUGUACUGUAGAUCAAAUGCAGUGCUUUAUGUCAUUGAUAUCUGACUUUCCAGGGCCUUCCUUAUGCCUUGGGUUGUUGUGUUGGCCUGAAUGGUCUCCUGCCAGUUCAGCCAGGGCUUAAAAAUAUACUGACCAGAAGUGAGCUGAGUUGUUGGGAGAUAACUGUCAAAUUGUACCUGGCACAAUCAGAAGUGUCUCAGUGGAUCAGAUGCCAAACACCAAAGCUUAGACUCUGCUGAGGGUCCUACUGGAUUCCCACUGGCCUCAGUGGGAGUGGUUUGGCCACCGUUUGGUUUCAUCUGCAUGGUCAGUGGUUUCAUGCUGAGGAGGAUGCUGUGCUCCCAGCCCAGCUCCCUGAAACCCACAGCCCUGACCCAGGCCAGGCUGUGAGGGUUUCCAGGCUGUCCACAUGAGCAGGGAAGGGGUGGGAAGGGAGCACAGUUUCCCUGACAAUGUCACUGUUUUUUCAUCUUGAUGUAAUUCAGAGCUACUGGGCUUCAUGGAGGGAAUAGCUGAUUGCAGAAAUGCCUCAUACUGGGAGAUAUUCUUCUGAGAUGAGAAAAGGAUUCUGUGUCACAAGAAAUAUUUCAAAUGUAGUUUUGGUUGCAAAUCAUAAUGAUACUGGAUUUCCAGAGGUUUAAGCUUCUCACAAGCUCAGACUUUUGGCCACCCUUAGUUGCAGCUCUCUGAGCUUGCUUGAGCAGUUGAGCCAGCUCGUUCUGUAGCAUGAGGCACAAGGUGUUAAUAUAGUCAAGACGAGAUAUAUGCUGUGAGAAGUCAAACAUUUUCUACUAAGGAAGAGCAAAACUUUUACUUCUUGCAGCUGUUUUGAUUCAGCAAUUGUCUUAGUGGAGACUUCUGGGAUUUUUCAGUCUCAUUGUUUGAAUCUGGUAACAACCACUGUCGUGUUCACAAGUUUCAAGUGAUGACAGUCCAAAUGCCUCCCUAAAAUCUCAUUUCUUCCUGUGUUAGUGUGCUGGCUUUGCCUGCCUUCAUUGGCAUCAAGGGCUUUCUCUCCCUGCCUCUGCUUGGCACGUAACUGAGCUAUGGACAAGCCCUACCUCGUACCGUGCUGGCAGAGGAUAUGCAGUCCCUAUGACUCCCCAAAUCAUCAUCAUCUCGAGGUGCCUCUCAUUCACAGAGAUUAUGUUUGAUCUACAACUUGCUAGCAUCAGUAAAGUGGGCACUGAUUGUAGGGAUUCUUAACGGGCUUCAUGCUGCUUCUGUGCCCUGUGAUGUACUCAGUUACUGAGUUUAGUCUGCAAACAAGGAGGUUCUACUGGGUGGGUGUAGGAAGCACAUGGGCAUCGGGGUGCCGUAUACUCACCUGAGGGCUCAUGUGGAGGAGUCACAAGAAGCAACGCUUACUCCUGAAGCAAGGAGGGUGGUGAGAGGACGUGCUGGGGGCUGAAAUUGGUCCCAUUCCAUGCACCAGGGCAGGCUGGCCACUGCACGUGCCGGGAAAGCACAUGUGCCUUCUCCUCCUCGUUGUCCAUAUGUGCUGUUGGUACAGCCUGUCCUCACCAAAUCUGGCCGGAGGAGCACAGCACAAACAAACCCAGCAGCAGCAGCCAGUACAACCCAAAAGGCAGCACACAUGGUAGCCGGGAGUAGACUGCUCCCAGGAUUCAGGUUUCAGGGUGGGAGCUACCGAGUCACUGGCUGACGUCAGCUCAGAGGCCCCCCGCAAUUCCAGACAGCCUUGUCAUGGCCAGGCACACGGCUGCUUGCACAAGCUGGGUUAUUUAUGCUCACAAGUGAUGUGGAAAGCCAUGUCCCAAAGAAAACCUUGUGUUUUUAGCCAAAAAAAAAGAAAAGGGGGGGGGUGGGAGGAGAGGAAGGAAGUAAGACCCGUAAAACACUUUCCUCCAACAUCUUGCAGAUGCACAGCCCUUGCACCACUUAUCUGGCUGCUGGGAUUUAUUUUCAGCUGUUUGAUUCAUGAGAGUGUGUCUCUGAGUGUUUGGAAGUGUGCGGAUUACUUCCCGUCCUGCCAGUGACUCACGCCAUCUGCGGUGAGCCAGGUCACCCUUCCGCAGCCUUGCUCCCUGGGGAGUGGGGGAAGGGCAGUGGGGAGCUCGGGGGCCGCCUGCGCCCCACAGCCACUGCAGCACGACACGGGGUGGUGCCCGCGUGGGUUGUUGUAGUGGGAUAGCCCACAACUUUGCAAAGAGAGAGAGACAGAUGGGAUUUUUCCAGGUUUAAUUUGAGCUUUUGUUGAUGCCGGUGGAACCGAGAUUUGGGGGAUGGCUGUGUUCUCCGUGUUCUGCUGUGCUUUUGCAGCAGGAAUAAUUAUAAGCCUCAGACCAUCAUCAAAACCUGGGAUUGAGUUGUUUAUGAAGUGAAUUGCAUUGACAAUGAAAUACUUGGGAACUAUUGCAAGAUCAAGGUUGGGUGGAGAUCACUUCCCUCCACACCCACCACAGAGAUCUUGGACCUCCGGCAGGCGGAUGAAGACAGCAGUGGUGGCCGCCCAUGGGCAGCAUGGUACAUGGAGUGGGUGGCCUCCUGGAUACUUGUCUGAGUUUCUCUGUUGCUACUCUAGAUAGGAUUUUUCUCCAUUUCUCACAGUGGUGGCUAGCAGUUCCAGCUGUGACACGUCAGAGCCGAGCACAGGAUCGGGCUCUGGAGGCAAUGCAGCUCCAUGCUAUAUCCUCUUGCAAAGUGAGUAGGAGGCAGCACAGCAAUUUCCCUGGAAAUGUGGGAAACGGAGCCCUGAAUGCGAUUGCUCCAGUUCAGCAAGACAUCAGCAGAGUGGUCCUGUACCUUUCCAGCCCAGCCGUGCCCAACUCCUGCACUUCUGCAGCUCACAGAGCUCAGCGCUGGGCUCAGCCUUUCCUCAGUAACCCUUAUUUCAUCCAGCUGCUCAUCUUACUGGAAAGGAUGCAAUGCACCAGCUUAUUCCAAAAACUGUUUAAAACUUGGUUACUUCUAUGGGACUCGGGAGGUCUCGGCUGCAGAAAUGCGAUUUAAUUCUUGAAACCCAGCAUGCAGAGAAGGAGCGUGGGAGCUGGCGUGUGUGCAGAGCGUGCUGUGGGCUCUAGCUGCCCCUGGGACACUGUGCCACGGCGCAGAAUUGAUGAGAUUGUCAUAGGUGCAGCCGUGCGGUCACGGUUGAGGAGGUGUUCUCGUCUCCAGCCCCUCUUCUGGGGUUUCCAGUCUCUCCAGAAAAUUAGCCUGUAGGGUUUCAUCUCUCAUGCUUAUUCUUAGCCUAAUGGUGUGUAGGCAGUUUGGGAUUUGGAAGUUGGAUGAAAGUCAAUUCAUUUGAGUUUAAAAAGUCAGUCAAUUGGAUGUGGUUCGUUGAGUUGCUUCUUUUUUCUUUUCCCUGGCGUGUUUCAUAGACCCUAGAAGGUGAGCAUCGUGGGUGGAAGGGCCCAAGUGAUCUAAAACUCUCCACCAGGUAGGAAAAUAGUAUUAUUCUCAUUUUAUUCAGAAGGAUAUGAAAAUAAAGGGAUUUUAUACAGCUUGCCCAACAUCACAGGGAGAGUCCUUUUAAAGAAACCUGAUCUCUCAUCCCUUAAUCUUACGCAUUAACAGCAACAUCAUCCUUCUCCCUUAAUCCUACUUUCAUACACUUCAAAAUUUGCACUGUUUUUUUUUUUAUUGGGCAUUUCCUUGAUAAGUCAUUUCUGUGAACAAUAGCCAAUUCACUGGUUAUUGUUCAGUGGUAAUGAGCUGGCUUAACAUAAAUUCAACAGUAUGUCAAGACUUUACACCUGAAUAGGCAUCCAGAGGUCUGAACCCUGCGACUGAUAUUUGAAACAAAUCAUCAUUAUAGUUUGGAAAGAAGGAUGAGAACAAUUAAGAAGAGGAAGAAUGCAUGUAUGGCAUAAACGCAAACUGCAAUGAUCAAGUAGUCAGGUGCUUAUUACUAAAAGCUUCUGGGAGAUCCUGGGAAGCAGGUGGCCCUACUUUGGCAGAAGCAUUUUUCCAGUCAAGAAGUGAUUGUUACCGUUGAGUACCGUACAGCGAUUUGGAUAUGAGGGAGGUGGAUCCUGAUAUCUUUGCUGUUCUCAUCUCUUGUGGGUUUAAGUCAGUCAGCUAAUGCAUUGUUGAUGUUGCUUUUUUGAAGUUAUACAACUGCAUUAGGCUUGCCUGCUCCUUCAGAUGCUCUGAUGCUGAGGAAGCCCCACAUCCACCCAUGGUUUCUCUCCUUGAUGUGCAGGCAGAGAGUGCUUGUUCCCGGACUCCUACCUGCCAGUGGCAGAAAACAAAUGCUGAUCCAGAAGCCCUGGUUAUGGGGAAUAUUUGGGCUGCCCCUGCUCACGUGUUGCCCUGCCAAGUUGUGUUGCACUCCUGGUUCUGCAAAGCAUUACCAUAAGCAAUUUUGUUUGUCGCCUGCAAUAAUUUUCUCCCGGGGUCACAGAUUAAGCAGCUUGGGUUUGGUUUUUUUUUUCAGUUUGGUUUUAAUUACAGUUUGACCUCUUUGCUGCUGGUUCUCUUCCGCACUUGCUGUAUUGUAGCUGUUUUGCUCUGGGCUGUAUUCUGAGAAAAACUAGGACAUAGUCAGUGCCUUUGGUAGAUGUUAUGCCUGGAAGGUGGCCCAGUGCUGUAAGAAAUGCUCCUGACUGAGUAAUAGGAGCCAAGAAAUAAAAAGUUAUGAUAGUGUUCCAGUUAAAACAUGGCAGUGCCUCGUACAAUUUCAAAGAGGCUUAGCCUGUGUCAUCACUGGACCAAAAGAAAGGCGGGUCCAGGGCAUUACUGUUUCCAGGAGAUUGUUGAUUGUAUAAAUAAUCACUCAAAUUAGGAGCCUUCAGUGACAACAUAAACCCAUGCUUUCUGUCUUGCUACGUGCUUUGCUAGUCUAGCUGGCAGACAGGCCAUCCCUUCCCUACAGGACUUAUGUGCGAAGGACACCACUACAGCCUUAGUAUUUAUCAAGAGACAAGGCAUUGCCGCACUUUAAUGUUCUCCUCUGCUUUCUCUGUCUGUAUUUGUUCAAAUCUCUUCCAUGUGUGCUUCUCAGUGAUAAGAUCUCAGUGGCAUAAGCUCAGCAACAACAACUGAAUUUAGCCCAUCAUCUUUCAAAAGCCUCUGCUGUCAGCAGCAGCCAGCGGUUCCUCCUCGCCUGGUGGAGGAGCUCCCUGAGAGAGCUACCUGCAGUGGUGUGCUCCCUGAGGGACAUGCUCAAGCAGCAAAGCUGGAACGGGCCAUCCGUGAAGGCAAACAGCUGAGAGUGAGUGAUGGAAAUGUUAAAUGAGAUAUGGUUGGACCUUUUAAAACCUCAUCUGUGUUACGUGGAAGGUCAAAUGUUCGUACAAGCU